GAUGAACGCUGGCGGCGUGCCUAAUACAUGCAAGUCGAGCGAACUGAUUAGAAGCUUGCUUCUAUGACGUUAGCGGCGGACGGGUGAGUAACACGUGGGCAACCUGCCUGUAAGACUGGGAUAACUUCGGGAAACCGAAGCUAAUACCGGAUAGGAUCUUCUCCUUCAUGGGAGAUGAUUGAAAGAUGGUUUCGGCUAUCACUUACAGAUGGGCCCGCGGUGCAUUAGCUAGUUGGUGAGGUAACGGCUCACCAAGGCAACGAUGCAUAGCCGACCUGAGAGGGGGAUCGGCCACACUGGGACUGGGACACGGCCGAGACUCCUACGGGAGGCAGCAGUAGGGAAUCUUCCGCAAUGGACGAAAGUCUGACGGAGCAACGCCGCGUGAGUGAUGAAGGCUUUCGGGUCGUAAAACUCUGUUGUUAGGGAAGAACAAGUACAAGAGUAACUGCUUGUACCUUGACGGUACCUAACCAGAAAGCCACGGCUAACUACGUGCCAGCAGCCGCCGUAA
rnacentral:rRNA from 1 species